rnacentral:rRNA from 1 species
UACGGGGGGGGCAAGCGUUGUUCGGAAUUACUGGGCGUAAAGGGCUCGUAGGCGGCCAACUAAGUCAGACGUGAAAUCCCUCGGCUUAACCGGGGAACUGCGUCUGAUACUGGAUGGCUUGGAUCCGGGAGAGGGAUGCGGAAUUCCAGGUGUAGCGGUGAAAUGCGCAGAUAUCAGGAGGAACACCAAUUGCGAAGGCAGCUCGCUGGGACGUUACUGACGCUGAGACGCGAAAGCGUGGGGAGCAAACAGG